UAAUCACAUGUUUGUUGGAUCAAUAUCUCAUGCAGUAAUGUUUCCUCCUCUGUCAUUAUUUUCCUUCUUAUUGAACAUUAUUUCAUUUGAAUCAGUAUCUUCUUCUUUCAUCAGGAGAAUGAAGCCGCUGCCUGUUCCUUGUACCAAAAACAUCCAGGACUGUUUAAACCCAUUUACACUUCAAAACAACAUCUUCAGAGGAGAACAUCACGGAGAACUGUAGAAGAGCUGUGCAGACACUUGGCAGGGGUUGGAGUGGUUAUCCUGUCGUGUGUCGUCCUGAGGAUUCGCCCCGAGUUUCCUGACCCGACUGGACAGUAUGUUGGCUUCGGCCCGCCCCUUGACCCUGGACACGUGUCGAGCCAGCCCUCCUUCUUUUUGAGAGUCAGGCAUUUUCUGCAGCUCCUCCAUGAAUUGUUUUGGUUCCUGAAACAUCUCCAAACACCUCCAACACCAGUGCCAUGAAGUCCCCGACAUAUCCUGUAAAAAAGUAAUUCAAGAACAAAAAUCUAUUUCGUAAUGUUUGGUUAUUGCUCAUUUUUCACACUCAUCUG